rnacentral:rRNA from 1 species
UACGAGUACCCCGAGCGUUAUCCGGAAUUAUUGGGCGUAAAGGGUGUGUAGGUGGUUGUAUUAGUCUCUCGUCAAAUCCCGGAGCCCAACUUCGGAGCUGCGAGAGAAACGGUAUAACUAGAGGAUGCGAGAGGUGUACGGAACUAUAUGUGUAGGGGUGAAAUCCGUUGAUAUAUAUGGGAACACCAAAAGCGAAGGCAGUACACUGGCGCAUUCCUGACACUGAAACACGAAAGCGUAGGUAGCGAAUGGG